ACCCUCUGGUUCCCUUUCCUAUCAGAUCUUGGUGGUUGUAAAAGGAGGAAAAGUAAUACUGAAGCUGGCCAUAUGUUGUUCUGGUCGGAUAUCUAACACACCAGCUUAUUUCAAACAGAG
ensembl:snoRNA